rnacentral:rRNA from 1 species
GACGAACGCUGGCGGCGUGCCUAAUACAUGCAAGUAGAACGCACAGUUUAUACCGUAGCUUGCUACACCAUAGACUGUGAGUUGCGAACGGGUGAGUAACGCGUAGGUAACCUGCCUGGUAGCGGGGGAUAACUAUUGGAAACGAUAGCUAAUACCGCAUAAUAUUGAUUAUUGCAUGAUAAUUGAUUGAAAGAUGCUAUUGCAUCACUACCAGAUGGACCUGCGUUGUAUUAGCGAGUAGGUGAGGUAACGGCUCACCUAGGCGACGAUACAUAGCCGACCUGCGAGGGUGCGCGGCCGCGCUGGGCCUGGGACACGGCCCAGACUCCUGCGGGAGGCAGCAGUAGGGAAUCUUCGGCGAUGGACGCAAGUCUGACCGAGCAACGCCGCGUGAGUGAAGAAGGUUUUCGGAUCGUGAAGCUCUGUUGUAAGAGAAGAACGGGUGUGAGAGUGGACAGUUCACACUGUGACGGUAUCUUACCAGAAAGGGACGGCUAACUACGUG